UACAGGUUGUUCCUGGCUUUGGUCAUGGAGUCCUAUGUAAAACGAUCCAAGAUACACAUGCCAGAGGGAAUUUGCAUUGAAAUAUUUGCCAGAUGAUUCUCUCUUCCAGCUGCUUUCAAAAUUGUAUGAAGUUGUUUCUCCAAUCCUUACAGAGCUUGGGAAGGUAACUUUCAGAUGCUUUUAAUUUCUUCGCUUUCAUAUUAGAUUAAUCUCAAGAUUGAAUCUAUUGAAAUAUAUACAUAUUAUUGGGUGAUUUCUACUAUGGCUUUUAGCAUAUUAUUCAAGUAUUUUGAAUUGUGCACGCAUUCAGUUUUUAGCUUAAAAGUUUCUGUUCUUGUUGCCUUGUGGCUUCUGUUAAUUUUGUUGGUUAUAUAGAAUUCUAUUGAACUGUCCUGACAUCGAGAAAUCUGAUAAAUCAUAUUUUUUAGGUGUUCUCUUAAACCUGACUGCUUUUGUCUUAAGGUCCUCCUCAAAAUCUGAUUUAUAUAAUAUGAAAGAUAUACAAGUUCAUUGUGAAGUUGGAUGAAAACUCAAAGGAUGAAUGUGCACAAGGAAAGAUAAUAGCACAAGAAAUCCAAAUCUAGGAAGACAUCACAAUCAAUAUUGACGACGAUGACGCGGUUCUCGAAUUACCAAAAAAGAAGAUAAAAAUGGAGAAGGAAUGAUCAAGGGACCAAAAAAAUUUAACAUGAACAAUUUUUAAUUUUCAAUACAUUUACAAAUCUGUUGAAGGAUUUUUAACAAAUUUUUCAUAUGCUUUUAAGAUGAUAAACUGAUGAAUGCUAUUUGUUAGGACAAUUUAUGAAUUAUAAGCAUAUGCACAUAUAGUUGUUUAACAACUAUUGCAUGCUUUGAUAAUUAUGCAGUUAUUAGCUUAAAUUUAUCAUUCAAUUACGUGAAUCUAAAUACAUAUUCAUAGAUUACUUGACUUUAUUACUUUUAAAAUAUAUAUGAACUAUUUUUUGUGAUCUCGAUUGCAAGCAAACUCUUGUUGAUGAGUCAUUUGCAAGAAGGAAUUCAUCUCAUGGACAUAUCCUCUCAGAUUCUAUUCAACAGGGCAAUAACACAGUUUAGUUUAUGUGCCUUGAGGACGAAUAUUAUUGCAGAAGCGCAUGGGUACCUAUCUAAAUUUUAUAUAGGUGAUAAGGUAAAGAAGCUGCUUGCGCAAGGUGUAUCUCAAAAUCUGUAUCCUGAAAAAACUCCUAAGCAGGUAUGUGCCACAUUUAUUGCUAAAUUUUUUUAAUCUAAUCUAACAUAACCGAUUUAUCAUAAUAACGCCUCUUCCUUAGUAAUGAUCACAAGAGCUUGUUCAAAUGGUAAUAUCCUUUAGCACGCACGCAUGCACGCACGCGUGUUCUUCAAUCCAUGCCUUCAGCACUUAAGAAGAUAUUAUUUGAUUUUUUUAAACGACUCUACUUCUGAUCCUUCCGCAAUAGUGAUGGCAAUAUUUAAUACUUUUCUUCUGGAAAAUGUUAAGACAAAGCAUCCACAAUUGCUAUAUGGGUCAAAGCUGUACAGAAUCCUGCAAAGAGGAACUGGGAUUCCAAAUGUGAAGUGGUUUGGUGUUGAAGGAAACCAUAAUGUCGUUGUAAUGGAUUUACUGGGACCGGUCUUGAAGACCUUUUCAAUUUCUGCAGUAGGAAGCUAUCACUAAUGGCUGUUCUUAUGUUACCACCUCUAUUUAGGUAAGAUCUAAUUCACAUAAUGAAGUUGGGAUC